rnacentral:rRNA from 1 species
UUCCUGGGCCAGGCCAGUCCGCCCAGGGUGAGUCGGGACCUAAGGCGAGGCCGACAGGCGUAGUCGAUGGACAACGGGUUGAUAUUCCCGUACCCGUGUGUGGGCGCCCGUGACGAAUCAGCGGUACUAACCACCCAAAACCGGAUCGAUCACUCCCCUUCGGGGGUGUGGAGUUCUGGGGCUGCGUGGGAACUUCGCUGGUAGUAGUCAAGCGAAGGGGUGACGCAGGAAGGUAGCCGUACCAGUCAGUGGUAACACUGGGGCAAGCCGGUAGGGAGAGCGAUAGGCAAAUCCGUCGCUCACUAAUCCUGAGAGGUGACGCAUAGCCGGUUGAGGCGAAUUCGGUGAUCCUCUGCUGCCAAGAAAAGCCUCUAGCGAGCACACACACGGCCCGUACCCCAAACCGACACAGGUGGUCAGGUAGAGCAUACCAAGGCGUACGAGAUAACUAUGGUUAAGGAACUCGGCAAAAUGCCCCCGUAACUUCGGGAGAAGGGGGACCGGAAUAUCGUGAACACCCUUGCGGUGGGAGCGGGAUCCGGUCGCAGAAACCAGUGAGGAGCGACUGUUUACUAAAAACACAGGUCCGUGCGAAGUCGCAAGACGAUGUAUACGGACUGACGCCUGCCCGGUGCUGGAAGGUUAAGAGGACCCGUUAACCCGCAAGGGUGAAGCGGAGAAUUUAAGCCCCAGUAAACGGCGGUGGUAACUAUAACCAUCCUAAGGUAGCGAAAUUCCUUGUCGGGUAAGUUCCGACCUGCACGAAUGGCGUAACGACUUCUCAACUGUCUCAACCAUAGACUCGGCGAAAUUGCACUACGAGUAAAGAUGCUCGUUACGCGCGGCAGGACGAAAAGACCCCGGGACCUUCACUACAACUUGGUAUUGAUGUUCGGUACGGUUUGUGUAGGAUAGGUGGGAGACUGUGAAACCUCGACGCCAGUUGGGGCGGAGUCGUUGUUGAAAUACCACUCUGAUCGUAUUGGGCAUCUAACCUCGAACCCUGAAUCGGGUUUAGGGACAGUGCCUGGCGGGUAGUUUAACUGGGGCGGUUGCCUCCUAAAAUGUAACGGAGGCGCCCAAAGGUUCCCUCAACCUGGACGGCAAUCAGGUGGCGAGUGUAAAUGCACAAGGGAGCUUGACUGCGAGACUUACAAGUCAAGCAGGGACGAAAGUCGGGAUUAGUGAUCCGGCACCCCCGAGUGGAAGGGGUGUCGCUCAACGGAUAAAAGGUACCCCGGGGAUAACAGGCUGAUCUUCCCCAAGAGUCCAUAUCGACGGGAUGGUUUGGCACCUCGAUGUCGGCUCGUCGCAUCCUGGGGCUGGAGCAGGUCCCAAGGGUUGGGCUGUUCGCCCAUUAAAGCGGCACGCGAGCUGGGUUUAGAACGUCGUGAGACAGUUCGGUCUCUAUCCGCCGCGCGCGUCAGAAACUUGAGGAAACCUGUCCCUAGUACGAGAGGACCGGGACGGACGAACCUCUGGUGCACCAGUUGUCCCGCCAGGGGCACCGCUGGAUAGCCACGUUCGGUCAGGAUAACCGCUGAAAGCAUCUAAGCGGGAAACCUUCUCCAAGAUCAGGUUUCUCACCCACUUGGUGGGAUAAGGCCCCCCGCAGAACACGGGUUCAAUAGGUCAGACCUGGAAGCUCAGUAAUGGGUGUAGGGAACUGGUGCUAACCGGCCGAAAACUUACAACA